rnacentral:tRNA from 1 species
GUCUCUGUAGCGCAAUGGAUGGCGCGUUGGACUUCUAAUCCAAAGGUCGUGGGUUCAAAUCCCACCUGGGAUG